GGAAGAUUCUGGGGGAGAGUUGUGGAUUUCAUAAAGCCAAACAUUUAAAGCUAGAGACGGGGGAGACUUACCACUUUCCCCAAACAACAUAAAAGACAAUGUCCCUUCUUCAAAAGUGCCAAAAGGAAUGUAAAAUGCAAAAAUUAAAACAAUCUUAAACCACAUAACCAAGCAUUGUGAACUGUAAGUGCCAAAAAUGACAAAAAUAACAUUCACUAUAACUGAAAAGCUCAUAUUAUAGGACCACACUGUGAAACAAACAAAACAUUGAAUGCAACUAGUAUUGUUCAACUACACAGAAUUUCAGGAAUGAAUGGAGACCUUCAGAGCUGCUUGAAAGCCCCUCUAAAUCGCUACCAUCCCACAAAACUUUAGCUUCUAGAGCUUGCACCUCUGACAUGCUUUGGGUGCUUAGACUGCAAGUGGGAAAGUCUUAUGCUUACACACAUUGGUGCACCUCCUCACCCCACCCCCUAAUAACCUUUGUGGAAAAUUUUAAAUUCAUAACCCAUUUAAAAUCCUUUUAGGAUUUUGAAAAGGUGGUUAUUAUUAGAUAAAAUUCAACCAUCUGAAGGACAAAUAGAAGUAUGAACAUAAAGAAAUGUGUCUUUUAAAUAUUUUCCAAGAUUAUAUGUAAAAAUUAACAUUCCUUCCACCCGUGUCAUACCUCCAAAAUGAUCUUCCUUGGAAAACUUUGAAGUUUUAUCCUUACUCUAACCUGUUACUUUUAUUUCUGAUAAAUUUUGGAAUGCUGCUCUCAGAAUGCUUUCACAUUGAAAAAAAUAUUUUCAUUGUAGAAAAUUUUUGUCUUUUGAGGUAAAUUUGAUUUUUGGAUAUAGCCAAAAAUGUAAUUUGAAGUCAAGUUGAUUGAAUAAGGCUAUCCAACUAUUUAGUGGUAGAACUAGGAUUUGAACUGCAGUCUGUUUGGCCUCAGAACUCCAUGUUUGUUUCUCUCUAUCC
rnacentral:lncRNA from 1 species